UAGCAUCUACUCGAACUCCACUCACAACACACAAAUCAAAGAAGCCUAGCUUAACUUCAAAUCGAAGAACUCCCUUGGCUAAACCUAGCUUUCCCCUCUCCGUCAACGGGCUCCUUCUUUUCUCUGCCGCUAACGGAAUCAACCCGCGAAGCUGAUAGAAUGGCCAACCUUGUUAGGUUCAGCUCCUCCGUCCCCUCCCCCGUCGCUAAGGACACCCGCGGUUGGCUCCUCGACUCUAUCUCGCUAGCUCGAGCUUCUGGCAUUUUAGGUGGAGCUCUCACUUGUGCUUCAGUUCAUAUAGGAGAGAUUCGGCCUGGCAGGUUGAGAGGGAAUCAUAAGCAUCAUGAUUGCAACGAGACAUUUGUCCUUUGGGGUGCCCUAACCAAAUUUAGGCUCUAAAUACAAGUGGUCUUGACAAAUUUCUUAAAUCAAUAGGAAGAAAUCCCUCAUAUGUUGAUUUGGAGUUGACUGAACAAAAAUUGACAAGAAAGGAAGGUAUAAGAUUUUCUUGUUUGAGGUUACUUGCUAAGAUUAAAACCUCGUUAUCUUUCACUUAAAAUUUCUGAAGGUUUUGAUAAAUUUUACCAUCAAUAGAAGCAGGAGGCUAAUCUAAUUCAAUUUGCUCUUAUUGACAUGAUUUUUAAAAAGAACUAACCCAGAGAAAUCUAUGGAAGAGUUUCGACCAGCUAGUCAAAAACUUGGUGAUGGCAUGGGUGUAAAGUCUUUAAUGCAAAGCACGGGACUUGGAAUGAUUUCUGGCCAAGUAGUUUCUGCUUUUAAUUAUGAGUGUUUCUUAAUCUAGUUUUAGGUUCUAAGCAUUUUUAGGGGCUAAUAGUUUCUUCUAUUUAUGUCCAUAUAGAACAAUUCAAUGUAUCAAAUCUCCAAAGUCAAUGACUCAUUUAUAAUUGAAUUUGGUAUAAUAAAGCUGAUUCACUUCUUCUAACAUUAUAUGAUGUCUUAAUUUUUUUAUAAUUUUUUACCUCUCCUCUGGCUAAUGCUUAUCUUGUUUCUCUAUUGAAAAUUAAGUAUAAAAUGCAUGGCUGAGUCAUUCUGUGUACUUGAAAAGGGUUAUCAUUCUGUGUACUUAGCCAAUAAAUAAACCGUUAUCAUUCUGUGUUGUGUUCUACCUCUUUUAGUACAUUAAUAAAUCAAUGUAAUUGGAGAGAGUAUUAAAGUAUUUUUGUUUUCUAAUCUGUGGAUUCUUGUCUUUUUACUAUGAAGAAUAAAUGUUAUUCUGUUUGGAUACGUAAUGCAGGUCUUGGUAGGUCAAAUGUAUUACAGUGGUUAUGGUGUUCCCAAUUCUAUGGGUUGGGGUGAGGCACCAAUUCUGCCUUUUGUUACUACUGAGGACCAGAAAACUGCCAUGGCCAAGGCUUCUGAGGCAUAUGCCUUUCUCAAGAGAUGUCCUUCACUGACACUGGGUUCCAUGUUGGAGGAGAUUGCUGCUAUUCUUCCUGGCCAUGAAUUUGCUUCUAUGAGUGACAUUCAGUUCUUCUUCAAAUUCUUGCAAGGCCAUGGUGGAAGUUGCAAAGAAUAAUAAGAGAGGACACAACAAUAGUAGUAAGUAAACUGUUCAUAGGAAAUCCAUUGAGACAUUUGGUCAAAGAACUUCACAGUAGAGAGGUGUCACAAGGCAUAGAUGGACCGGUAGAUAUAAAGCACAUUUGUGGGAUAAUAGUUGCAAAAAAGAAGGGCAAACUAGGAAAGGAAGACAAGGUAAUUAGUGAAAAAAAUAAAAUAAAAUAAAAAACUAUAUAUUCUUCAUUUUUUGACAUUUUAAAAUUUAUUUGUUUGGAUUUCUUCAUUAUUUUUUUCCCUUUUGCAAAUA